rnacentral:tRNA from 1 species
GCGGGUGUAGUGUAGCGGUAUCACAGGAGCUUCCCAAGCUCUUAACCCGGGUCCGAAUCCCGGCACCCGCA